GAUGAACGCUGGCGGCGUGCCUAAUACAUGCAAGUCGAGCGAACAGACGAGGAGCUUGCUCCUCUGACGUUAGCGGCGGACGGGUGAGUAACACGUGGAUAACCUACCUAUAAGACUGGGAUAACUUCGGGAAACCGGAGCUAAUACCGGAUAAUAUAUUGAACCGCAUUGUUCAAUAGUUAAAGACGGUUUUGCUUUCACUUAAAGAUGGAUCCGCGCCUCAUUAGCUAGUUGGUAAGGUAACGGCUUACCCAGGCGACGAUGGUUAGACGAACUGAGAGGGUCAUCGGCCACACUGGAACUGAGACACGGUCCCGACUCCUACGGGAGGCAGCAGUAGGGAAUCUUCCGCAAUGGGCGAAAGCCUGACGGAGCAACGCCGCGUGAGUGAUGAACGUCUUCGGAUCGUAAAACUCUGUUAUUAGGGAAGAACAAAUGUGUAAGUAACUAUGCACGUAUUGACGGUACCUAAUCAGAAAGCCACGGCUAACUACGUG
rnacentral:rRNA from 1 species